rnacentral:lncRNA from 1 species
GACACCAGUUGAUCUUAAAGAAUUCGACUUUUGAUUAACAAUGAAUCCCGAUAUUACUAUUUAAUAUAAUUUUAAGAGGGACUUUGAACUGGUCUCGGCACAUCCUAACUAUGAUUACAUAAAAUGUACAUACAAAUUAUGCAAAUUGGCAUGUAAUCACAAAACAUAAUAGCAAUCAUAUAAUCAUGCCAAAAACAAACAAGGGUGCAAUUUGAAGUCAUAACAUAUGAUAAGCAUAUUCAAAUAAUAUAACAAAUCCUAAUCUUAUUAGGCAUGCAUAACAUUCUUAACCAUACAUCAAUUUAAGCAUCAUGCUAUCAUGAUAAUAAAAAUUUCAAAUUAUCAUAGAUUCACAAUUCUAAUAAUUGAAAUUUAACAUCAUGGUAGAAAUAAAGUCAAAAAUAUUUUUUUGAGUUUAAAAAUUGAUGCUAAAAAUAAUACAACAUUUUUGGCAGGAUAUGUGAUCAAUAACAAUUCUAUGCAACAAUUUUAUACUUGUUUAAUCAAAUCAGGUAAGGGUGGCUCUGAUACCACUGUUGGGUUCCGGCCACGCAGCGGAAAGUGAUUUUUAAAAAUUUUAAAAUCAAACAAGUUAAAUAGCUUUAUCAAAUAAAAUUAUUGAGUCGGAAUCCAAAUCCUAAAAUCACCUUGCCGAUAUCGAUAAAACAAAAAUAAGCAUGCAAAAGAGAUAGAAUUUUAUACUUUCACGAAAAUGAAAAAGAUGCACGUUGGUAUUCUCCACAAAACCCCAAGGUGGAAGUCCUCCAACGGUGAUCUACACGGAAGUUAGCCAAGAUCCUUCCUAACUGGUGUGCUGCUGCAACCUAGUCCCCUGAAGAACACUGCCAGCUUCGAACUUAUGGUACGAUCGUGCCAACACUCAAUUGCUUUCGAUCUCGCCACCAGAAUGACACAAAGAAGAUACUCUUUAGAUGUCUCAUAAUCUAGGAUUUGAUUUUUGGCUCUAACACAUGAAAAAACCAAACCUUAGGGCACACAAGCAACACUUGCUAAAAAUCUCACCAUCCUUCUUGCAAUUUUUGCCACUCAAUUUUUUCUUAUUUUUUUCUCAAUUUUUUUUUAGAUUUUUUCCUAUGAUUUUCAUGUCCCUCUUCUCUAGUUUCAGUCCAAAAUCACAGCAGGUAGCC